CAAGGCGACGAUGCGUAGCCGACCUGAGAGGGUGAUCGGCCACACUGGGACUGAGACACGGCCCAGACUCCUACGGGAGGCAGCAGUAGGGAAUCUUCCGCAAUGGACGAAAGUCUGACGGAGCAACGCCGCGUGAGUGAUGAAGGUUUUCGGAUCGUAAAGCUCUGUUGUUAGGGAAGAACAAGUAUCUGUUGAAUAAGCAGGUACCUUGACGGUACCUAACCAGAAAGCCACGGCUAACUACGUGCCAGCAGCCGCGGUAAUACGUAGGUGGCAAGCGUUGUCCGGAAUUAUUGGGCGUAAAGCGCGCGCAGGCGGUUCCUUAAGUCUGAUGUGAAAGCCCACGGCUCAACCGUGGAGGGUCAUUGGAAACUGGGGAACUUGAGUGCAGAAGAGGAGAGCGGAAUUCCACGUGUAGCGGUGAAAUGCGUAGAGAUGUGGAGGAACACCAGUGGCGAAGGCGGCUCUCUGGUCUGUAACUGACGCUGAGGCGCGAAAGCGUGGGGAGCGAACAGGAUUAGAUACCCUGGUAGUCCACGCCGUAAACGAUGAGUGCUAAGUGUUAGAGGGUU
rnacentral:rRNA from 1 species